CAAUAGCGUAUAUUAAAGUUGUUGCAGUUAAAAAGCUCGUAGUUGAAUUUCUGGGCGGCCCGCCGGUCUUCCAUGUGUUGUACUGGGCGGCGCCGGCCAUCCUUGUGGAGAGGGCUCGCAUUUGGUUGCGUGUCGGAUCUGCAUCAUUUACUGCGAAAAAAUUAGAGUGUUUAAAGCAGGCUGUCGCUUGAAUACAUUAGCAUGGAAUAAUAAGAUAGGACUUCGGUCUAUUUUGUUGGUUGCGAACCGAGGUAAUGAUUAAUAGGGAUAGUUGGGGGUAUUCAUAUUUAAUUGUCAGAGGUGAAAUUCUUGGAUUUAUGAAAGAUGAACAACUGCGAAAGCAUUUACCGAGGAUGUUUUCAUUAA
rnacentral:rRNA from 1 species